GUGGGGAAUAUUGCACAAUGGGGGAAACCCUGAUGCAGCGACGCCGCGUGAGUGAAGAAGUAUUUCGGUACGUAAAGCUCUAUCAGCAAGGAAGAAAAUGACGGUACUUGACUAAGAAGCCCCGGCUAACUACGUGCCAGCAGCCGCGGUAAUACGUAGGGGGCAAGCGUUAUCCGGAUUUACUGGGUGUAAAGGGAGCGUAGACGGUAUGGUAAGUCAGAUGUGAAAGCCCGGGGCUCAACCCCGGGACUGCAUUUGAAACUAUCAGACUAGAGUGCAGGAGAGGUAAGUGGAAUUCCUAGUGUAGCGGUGAAAUGCGUAGAUAUUAGGAGGAACACCAGUGGCGAAGGCGGCUUACUGGACUGUAACUGACGUUGAGGCUCGAAAGCGUGGGGAGCAAACAGGAUUAGAUACCCCUGUAGUCC
rnacentral:rRNA from 1 species